CCCUUAGAUGUUCUGGGCCGCACGCGCGCUACACUGAUGAAUUCAACGAGUUUUCCACCUUGACCGAGAGGUCCGGGAAAUCUUUUCAACUUUCAUCGUGCUGGGGAUAGAUUAUUGCAAUUGUUAAUCUUGAACGAGGAAUUCCUAGUAAGCGCGAGUCAUCAGCUCGCGUUGAUUACGUCCCUGCCCUUUGUACACACCGCCCGUCGCUACUACCGAUUGAGCAUUAGGGUGAAAUCUUCGGACCGUGGCGUACUUCUGGCUUAGCCAGUCUUUGUCCGUGGGAGGUCGCUUAAAUCCUGAUGCUUAGAGGAAGUAAAAGUCGUAACA
rnacentral:rRNA from 1 species